AUCGUUCGGCGGUUUCCUCCCAUUCCGCCGGACGGUGUUCCCCUCUGAAGGUUUGACCUUCUUUUGGCCGGGCCGUCUUCGCGCCCGGCCAUUUUU
rnacentral:sRNA from 1 species